rnacentral:rRNA from 1 species
UACGGGGGGAGCAAGCGUUGUUCGGAUUUACUGGGCGUAAAGGGCGCGUAGGCGGCGCAACAAGUCACUUGUGAAAUCUCCGGGCUUAACCCGGAGCGGCCAAGUGAUACUGUCGUGCUAGAGUGCGGAAGGGGCUACUGGAAUUCUCGGUGUAGCGGUGAAAUGCGUAGAUAUCGGGAAGAACACCAGUGGCGAAGGCGCUCUACUGGGCCACAACUGACGCUGAGGGACGAAAGCUAGGGGAGCGAAAGGG